GGCUAUAGCUCAGUGGUAGAGCGCUUGCCUAGCAGGUGCAAGGCCCGGGAUCAAUCCCCAGUACCA
rnacentral:tRNA from 1 species